rnacentral:rRNA from 1 species
AAACACGGACCAAGGAGUCUAGAAUAUGCGCGAGUCAAAGGGCUGGCUAAACCCUAAGGCGUAACGAAAGUGAAUGAUGAAACGACGAAUCUUCCGCCUCGGCGGUCGGUUCGGCGCUCGUCUUGGGCCGAUCCGGUUCGGGGGUCAAACCUCGAUUCGCCUCAUUAACCUAGGAGGACGGCGCAGGCCCGGGGCUCGCCAGCUUUCCUCCCCACCAUUAAUGCUCACGUCGGCGUAUUUCCUCCGUUCGGGAGGCGUUCUCUCCCCGUUUCCUUCGUCGUCGUCGCGUCGCCUUUCGGGGUGGCGAGGCGGCGGUACGGGUUAAGCGGUCAGGGUGGGCGUCGAACGGGCGGGGGCGUCGGCUCGCAGGCGGGGACGAGCGGCGGGUACCUCGAGCGUAUAUUCUAGUACCCGAAAGAUGGUGAUCUAUGCCUGGCCAGGAUGAAGCCAGAGGAAACUCUGGUGGAGGUCCGUAGCGAUUCUGACGUGCAAAUCGAUCGUCGGAGCUG